UACAGAGGUCUCAAGCGUUGUUCGGAUUCAUUGGGCGUAAAGGGUGCGUAGGUGGCGCUGUAAGUCGGGUGUGAAAUCGCCCGGCUCAACUGGGCGGGGUCAGCGGAUACGGUGUGGCUCGAGCAAGCUAGGGGGCAAUGGAAUUCCCGGUGUAGUGGUGGAAUGCGUAGAUAUCGGGAGGAACACCAGUGGCGAAGGCGGUUGCCUGGAGCUUUGCGUGACGCUGAGGCGCGAAAGCGUGGGGAGCGAUCCGG
rnacentral:rRNA from 1 species